rnacentral:rRNA from 1 species
UACGAGUGCCUCAAGCGUUAUCCGGAAUCAUUGGGCGUAAAGGGUGUGUAGGUGGUCUAGUUAGUCUUCUGUCAAAGCCUGGGGCUUAACCCCAGUUCUGCAGAAGAAACGGCUAGACUCGAGGUUGGCAGGGGUGUACGGAACUCAUGGAGUAGGGGUGAAAUCCGUUGAUAUCAUGGGGAACACCAAAAGCGAAGGCAGUACACUGGGCCAUACCUGACACUGAGACACGAAAGCGUGGGUAGCGAACGGG